GAUGAACGCUGGCGGCGUGCCUAAUACAUGCAAGUCGAGCGAACGGACGAGAAGCUUGCUUCUCUGAUGUUAGCGGCGGACGGGUGAGUAACACGUGGAUAACCUACCUAUAAGACUGGGAUAACUUCGGGAAACCGGAGCUAAUACCGGAUAAUAUUUUGAACCGCAUGGUUCAAAAGUGAAAGACGGUCUUGCUGUCACUUAUAGAUGGAUCCGCGCUGCAUUAGCUAGUUGGUAAGGUAACGGCUUACCAAGGCAACGAUGCAUAGCCGACCUGAGAGGGUGAUCGGCCACACUGGAGCUGAGACACGGUCCAGACUCCUACGGGAGGCAGCAGUAGGGAAUCUUCCGCAAUGGGCGAAAGCCUGACGGAGCAACGCCGCGUGAGUGAUGAAGGUCUUCGGAUCGUAAAACUCUGUUAUUAGGGAAGAACAUAUGUGUAAGUAACUGUGCACAUCUUGACGGUACCUAAUCAGAAAGCCACGGCUAACUACGUGCCAGCAGCCGCGGUAAUACGUAGGUGGCAAGCGUUAUCCGGAAUUAUUGGGCGUAAAGCGCGCGUAGGCGGUUUUUUAAGUCUGAUGUGAAAGCCCACGGCUCAACCGUGGAGGGUCAUUGGAAACUGGAAAACUUGAGUGCAGAAGAGGAAAGUGGAAUUCCAUGUGUAGCGGUGAAAUGCGCAGAGAUAUGGAGGAACACCAGUGGCGAAGGCGACUUUCUGGUCUGUAACUGACGCUGAUGUGCGAAAGCGUGGGGAUCAAACAGGAUUAGAUACCCUGGUAGUCCACGCCGUAAACGAUGAGUGCUAAGUGUUAGGGGGUUUCCGCCCCUUAGUGCUGCAGCUAACGCAUUAAGCACUCCGCCUGGGGAGUACGACCGCAAGGUUGAAACUCAAAGGAAUUGACGGGGACCCGCACAAGCGGUGGAGCAUGUGGUUUAAUUCGAAGCAACGCGAAGAACCUUACCAAAUCUUGACAUCCUUUGACAACUCUAGAGAUAGAGCCUUCCCCUUCGGGGGGGCAAAGUGACAGGUGGUGCAUGGUUGUUGUCAGCUCGCGUCGUGAGAUGUUGGGUUAAGUCCCGCAACGAGCGCAACCCUUAAGCUUAGUUGCCAUCAUUAAGUUGGGCACUCUAAGUUGACUGCCGGUGACAAACCGGAGGAAGGUGGGGAUGACGUCAAAUCAUCAUGCCCCUUAUGAUUUGGGCUACACACGUGCUACAAUGGACAAUACAAAGGGCAGCGAAACCGCGAGGUCAAGCAAAUCCCAUAAAGUUGUUCUCAGUUCGGAUUGUAGUCUGCAACUCGACUACAUGAAGCUGGAAUCGCUAGUAAUCGUAGAUCAGCAUGCUACGGUGAAUACGUUCCCGGGUCU
rnacentral:rRNA from 1 species